ACAGCAAAAUAAAUAUUAAUAUAAUUCUUUGUAAAGACAAAAGAUCAAAUGUUAUGUUCAAAGUCAUGCAUUUAUACUUUUUUUAGAGACGGGUGUAGCUAGCGGCAGCAACUAGCAACUAGAAGGAGACUUGGGAGUCUAGGAGAUACUCACAGGUCAGCAGCAGCAUGUGUCAAACCGUGCACCAGAUUGCACGCCGAGCUAAGGAAACUUGGCGACGAUUCAGACCUGGCUGCAUUAAGAUACUCAAUCUUUUAAUGGCAACACAUGCGUAACCGCUUGCACCUCGAAGGCUGCUCUAAAAUAUGCAUCACGAGCUCCAUGUCUCCACGGUUGUAUCAAGACCAAAGCGAAGUCCACGCUGAUGCAGACUCAUCCGGUUCAGUUGCUUACUUAACCAUUCCUGCUUUAUCCAGAAACCCUGACAGACUUCACAGCUAAGAUCAGAAUGCAACAAUGAAGAAUCCAAGUGAUAGAUAUGAAACCAUAGUUCUGAAUAUCGCCGUCGCCAUCGCCGCGACGGUGGGGAAAUUUCAUCCAAAUUCAGCAAGGGGAACAAAAAAAGACAAGCUUGAUUGUAUACCGAAUAAGAUGCACGUUUUAACUCCUCUUUUAGCUCAUGUUUAUGCUUAUAAGCCAAAAUUUAAAUUUUCAACCUUAAAUUUAUAGUUGAUUUUAAAAUUUCACCAAAGUUUAUUUUUCAACCUUAACUUUUAGAUCGCUAAAAAAUAUAUAGAGAGAGAUUUUAUUCACAAACUAUUUUCUGUUGACAAAUAUGUCGCCAAAUAAACACCCUAUUGGCUGUUUAAUUCACGUUUUCUGAAACAUUUGAUCCGCAUGAAGAAACAAAAUAAAGUUGAUGGCUUGUACCACUUGCCGAAUCGGAAAGCGAGGUUUAUAAACCAGUACAGCGAAGUGACUGGUAGAGCAACAAUUAUUUUGAUGAAGACGUUGAAGAAAAUAAAUCAUUUUCCAAGGCAUGGCACAAGUGCUCAUAUCUUUGUCUCUAUGGAGGUAGGGCCUUUCUUGGUUGAUUGGCAGGACUGAUCAAUCUCAUCAUGGCCUUGUCCUGAUUCAUGAGCCUCUUACCUCGACAGCACAGCUGCACAGGUAGUCCUGAAACUUCUCCUGCAAACAGUACAAUCAGAUGAAUCACCAUGGGACGACAAAAGAUACAACUACAUCUGUUCUUUUUCUGAAGUAAGAAAAUACCAAAAGAUUGUUUAUGCAUCAAAUUGGGAGAUAAAAGAUGGAAUGAACUACAAUUUCUGAUAUUGUAUAAGGUGGUAAUCUUUUGGCAGUUUGGAGGAAAAACGAAACGAAAUAUUUAUAAACAAAAAAUAAUUUAUAAAUAUUUUUUUUAUUCUUAGUGAUUUAAAAGCAAAGGUUGAAAAUUAAACUAUGAUAAAGAAAUCUUAAAAUUAACUCUAAAUUUAAGAUUAAAUAUUCAACUUUUAGUUUAUAAGUGUAACCAAAAGUGAAGAGACGUGUUGUUAUUGUUCGCCUUCCGUAUCCAAUCUACAGUUGCGAAUUACAGUACUAGACUAUAAAUGGUCCUAGCCUUUUCCAUAAACGAUAAGGGAUGCAUUCAUAUUGUAGCCUUCUCCAGGGAACGAGAUCUCAAGCAACAUCAAGGUAAGUUACCAGCACUUACUGUGCAAUCAGCAGAAGAUACAUGAAUAGUGCCACUAGGGUAGUGGCCCUAAUCCUACCCCUAAAUCUAAAUGCCCAUUGUAUAUUUCCACCUCCAAGCACCUACUAGGCUACUACUGCAUCUGCUGCUCCGUUUUCCAGUAAAAUGGCACCAGGCCAUUUUCGCAGAAGUUGUGGGCUGAGUUCAAGUGGUUCCAACCCUAAUCGUGCUACAUUGCCCACAAAUUUCGAUCCAGAUCGACUGAAUGGACAAGUAUAAUCCGCGACACUUCCAAAACGAUUUUAGCGGAUAAAAAUCACCUGGAUUGGAGAUUUCACAAGGGAUGAUGUGUACCGGGUUAGAGCGAGCGACUCGACGGAGACGGGACGGGAGGCCGCACCUUGCCGCCGACGAGGACCACGCGGCCGGAGAUCCCCGUCGACGGCAGCGGCGACCAGCCUCCGGCAGAUCAUCCCGCCGCCUCCCUCUCGCGGUCUCGCCCCUCUCCUCCUCUCUCUGCUUACCUCCGUUGCGGACUUGCGGUUCGAACAGCCCAAGCAUUGG
rnacentral:lncRNA from 1 species